AUAACUUAAUCCAGAGACUGAUUCUCCUUGAAUCACUUAAAAAUUGUUGUUGUAUUCUUCAACAAAUUUUUUUGCAGGGCUGUAUUUCACACAUGGCAAGACAACUCAUUGGUAGGUAAGUUCAUAAGAUCCUUUGCACUUAAUUGUUAUUGAUUUACAUAUGUGGUUUGUGUGUAUGGAGUUCCGAACGAAUUCCGAGGAUUAUGAUCCUUUGCACUUAAUUGUUAUUGAUUUACAUAUGUGGUUUGUGUGUAUGGAGUUCCGAACGAAUUCUGAGGAUCCUUUCGAUGAUUUUUGUGUUGGCUGGUUUUCUGUGUUCUGGUGCAACACUCCGUGUUCGCAGAGCUUGUGGAUGUGUUCGUGAAUGGGAGGGGUGAGGACCUCGCAUUCGUGGAGUCUCGACCGCGUUCGCAGGAGGGACCUCCGCGUUCGUGGGAGACCUUUUGCGUUCACGGAGGUCCAGCUCAUUAAAACUCGCGUUCGCGUAAGACCCCUCGUAGUGUUUAAACCCAAAUUUUGGGAUUUCUUUCCCAUUUUCAUUUUGGAGCAAGUUGGGUUUUCAAGAUAAAAUUGGUGGGUAACAUUUCUUAACUCUAAACCUUCGAUUACCCAUUAUUAUUAUUGAAUUUAUGAGUUCAAAUCAAGAUUUCGGGUUGAUUAUUUGGGGGUGCUUCAUGAACUUGAGUUAUGAAGUAAAAGUGAGUUUGUGAACUGAUUUUAAGUUAUAUUUUGAAAUGAUUUUCCCUGAUGAGUUCCUAAAACCUUGAGUAAUGUUGUCAAGUAUUAAAUUUUGAAUCCAAACCUUAAUUUUUGGAAUUAGGUAUUGUAUUGAUUGACUCACCUUUUAAGGAAAUUGUAGUGGGUGUUGUUGAUUCUGGAAAGUGAUUGUGAAUACUUGCUUGAUUAUAGAUUGUAUGGUUUUGGAAGUGAAUCGGACGGGGGAGACUCAACUUUUGGAGUGAUUGUUGAUUGAUUUAAGGCAUCUGGCUUCCUAAACAUUGUAUUCUGAUUGAAUUCGCAUGCUUCCUUUGUUGCUUGCGUGUUGGGAGUAAUGAAGAUGAGGUGAAGGGUUUAAAUUGUCCACUUGUAACUUCCUCAUACAAUAGCGAAAUGAACCGAUAUUUUUUUCUAAAUGUCUUAAAUAAUGAUACUGACCUACUCAAUUAACC
rnacentral:lncRNA from 1 species